CCGGAAUAGUGUACCUAACUAAA
rnacentral:siRNA from 1 species